AAUAUCUAGGGCUAAGGUUAUGUCGCGCAGCUGAAGGCAAUUCGGCGACUCCAGUACGCACAACGUCGGGCUUAAAAUUGACGACCCUCUCUUAAGAUUGGACUUGAAAUCGAUGACGCUCUCUGAAGCUUGCCUACACAAUCGUUUUCUUGUCACUGCUGUGGGCUUGAAAUCGACGACGCUUAAAUAGAUCUGAAGCUUGCCUAUACAGUCGUUUUCUUCUCACUGAUUGGGCUUGAAAUCGACGACGCUCUCAGAUCUAAAGAGAAGCUCCCUCUCUCUCACCUUUGCGUUUUCCGGUGAACCCAAAGCUUCUCCGCUGCCUUGUAUCACUCCGGCAGCCCUCUACAACUUCCAGCUAGUUCUAAUCUUCUUCUUCGGUCACGGUUUGGAUGAAAAAUUUACAGAAUCUCCCCAAGCUCUCUCUCUAUAUUUCUUUAUCUCUCUCAUCUCGGGGACAUUAUAAUAAUAUACAAGUAUUUGAUGUUUUAGUCACAUGCUCGUUCAUUUAUAUGGUUGGAUGACAUGCACCCACAUCUGCAAAUGGGUGGUCAUGUGUAUCAAGAGUUGGAGGAUGUAGUUGCUGUUAUGCAAGCUCAACAAAAUAGGCAAAACUACAUUGUAUAUGGUGGAUGUUGUUGUCUUAUUAUAACUAUAUUAUUUAUGUUAUUGCUCAUAUUGUUGUUGUUGGUUAUUGUGGCUGUUAACUAAUGAUGUAUUAUAUUUAUUCAAUUUUACUUAGAUACUUUUAUUGUGCCUGUUGACAAGUGUUGACAAGUGAUGUAAUAUUUAUGAAACUCAUGUCUGUAAUAUCUUCAAACUCAUGUAAUGUAUAAUAUGUUGAAAGUUUAUUUCAGUUAGAUAUUGAAACAAUGUCU